rnacentral:piRNA from 1 species
CUAAUUAGUUUUUGUAUUGGAAGGG